GAUGAACGCUAGCGGGAGGCUUAACACAUGCAAGUCGAGGGGUAACAUGGGGUAGCAAUACUCUGAUGACGACCGGCGUACGGGUGAGUAACGCGUAUGCAACCUACCCUGUACAGGGGGAUAACCCGGAGAAAUUCGGACUAAUAUCCCAUAAAGAUAUUUUGAGGCAUCUCGAGAUAUUUAAAGCUCAGGCGGUACGGGAUGGGCAUGCGUAACAUUAGCUAGUUGGCAGGGUAACGCCUACAAGGCAUUGAUGUUUAGGGGUCCUGAGAGGGUGAUCCCCCACACUGGUACUGAGAUACGGACCAGACUCCUACGGGUGGCUG
rnacentral:rRNA from 1 species